UCUCAUGACGGUCUUUCAUCUUCUCUCCUAGUGUUCUUAUUGUCGUGAGGGUUCGGUCCCUCUCCUUGUGAGAGUUCUAGUCUCUCGGCUCUUCUUGGCCUGUCACUCGCUUAUUGUAGUUUGAUUGUGGCACUUGCUCUUGCUUAAAUCGACAAAGGCUCUCACUUUUAGUUCAGAUUCAGAUCUCAACGUUCACGGCUUUAUUUUUAGAUUUCAUAGUUCAACGCCCCAACCGCUCAGCUUUCACAGCUUUAUUUUCUUGCUGCGCGUCAUUUUCUCUUCUUUGCAUUCUCGUUCAUCUCUGCUUAGAUUCAGAUCUUUAGUCUCCUUCAUCCGUCGGCGUCAUCCUCUGUUCUGAUUUCUACCAGGAAAGCUGGUCCUGUAAGCUGAGCUCUAGUCCUGAAGUGAAAGAUGAGGUGGAUAUGUUCAAUUCUUUACUAGCAUCUGUGUUUUGAUCAGGUGGUGGGUUGCAUACGCCUUUAAGAUAUAUACCAAUAAUCAAGAUCAUACAAGGAAGAUAAUAUGCUGAAAUUUUAAAAAAUCAAGCCGAUCUUUACCUUUUAGGAAGCCCGCCUUCCUAAACUCUCUCUCACUUUUUGUCAAUUUAUUUUGAUUAUGUACAUCAAACAACUGCACACUCCGAGGUAUCUUUCCUACACGUCAUCUUUUUGUAGUUGCUAAGAACGAUUUUAAGUCUUCCAAACUCGCCUUUAUACCUUCAGCUAGUGCAUUAUUUGAGAAGUGGACAUCCAAAUUACAGGUUUGUUUGCACAGCUUGAGGGACUUUGAAGAGAUAGAAGUCAUUUAUUUCUUCUCGUCUUUCUGGAGUGAAUAUUAGUAAACCAUCCAAACUCAUGUAAUAAUUUAACUGCUUUCAUAUUGUAUUUUGAAUAUUAUUAAAAUUAUGUAAUGGUCAAAAUUUAUGUAA